AGGGAUGUAGCUCAGUGGUAGAGUGUUUGCCUUGUAAGUACAAAGCCCUUGUGUGUUCAAGCCUCAACACCCCCA
rnacentral:tRNA from 1 species